rnacentral:rRNA from 1 species
AUUGAACGCUGGCGGGAUGCUUAACACAUGCAAGUCGAGCGAGCUGUAGCAAUACAGCUAGCGGCGGACGGGUGAGGAAUACAUAGGAAUCUGCCUCAGAGCGGGGGAUAGCCUGGGGAAACUCGGAGUAAUACCGCAUGAUGUCGCAAGACCAAAGUGGGGGACCGCAAGGCCCCACACUCUGAGAUGAGCCUAUGUCAGAUUAGCUAGUUGGCGGGGUAAUGGCCCACCAAGGCGACGAUCAGUAGCUGGUCUGAGAGGACGAUCAGCCACACCGGAACUGAGACACGGUCCGGACUCCUACGGGAGGCAGCAGUGGGGAAUAUUGGACAAUGGGCGCAAGCCUGAUCCAGCAAUUCCGCGUGGGUGAAGAAGGCCUUCGGGUUGUAAAGCCCUUUAAGUUGGGACAAAAAAAUCGGCGAUAACAUCGCCGGUCUUGAUGGUACCGACAGAAUAAGCAACGGCUAACUCUGUGCCAGCCGCCGCUGUAA